CUUUAUGUAUAUACUAUACAUACAUAUAUGGAACGUCAUCACCAUCGUGCCAAGCCCCUGUGCUCCGGAACCCAGUUUUGUCUGAUGUUUGACCCUUCCAAAUUACAUGUAAACUGAAUCGCUAUCGUGACCCAGAUAGUUUAGCUUGUACACGAGGAUGUCGCAAAAUUAUGAAGAUUUUUUAUGCGACUAAGUCUUUAGCGCCCAUCGUCAAACGGAAACCACUGAAAAGUAAAAAGGUGACUCAAGACGUUAUGGAAUUCAUCGAAUUCAAAAAGAAAUGUAAGCCAAGUAUUUAAGAUGCCCUGGAUUUCCCUGCUUCGUUCAUGUCUGGAUUUUUCCGACAGUGUGGAUAUGUAUAAUCACGGAAGGUAUCAUAUAAGUUGUUCAUAACAACAUGGCAUAUAUAUGUGUGUAACAACCCAUGUGUUCAACGAGUACCAGAUCUUUAUUAAAUGCUUAAAACUUAACGUAAAAGUUGUCGUUGUUUUGCAUAGUCAUGUAAUUAUAUAUAAUCGCACACGUGUGUAUACACAGCCACGGUCCUGGUACAGUACAUACUCCGUGUUCGCCCCGCCCCUUUCGGCACAGAACCAAUCAGGAAGGUCGAUACAUUGUUUCAAGCUUAUCGGUUGGCGAUUCAAUACAAUCAACAGUUGCUGUACUACUAUUGAAAAAGUACCGUACACACUUCAGCGCGCAGCGCUGUAAAC